rnacentral:lncRNA from 1 species
CUCAAAAUCAAUCGAACUUUUUUGCACAAUUAUUUUUUUGUGUUAGGACGAAGGCCUUUUAAGUGGUAAAAAAGAACUUAGCAGCUAUAAGAUUCAAAAGUAAUUUAUAACGAACAUGGUUUCAUUUGGGGCAAAAGUGCAAGAUUAAAUUAAUACUAAAAGUAGCACAAAACUAACCCUUUUGUUUUCUCAUUUGCCAUAUGAGCCCGUCCUGUUGGUACCCACGUGAAGGAUAAGAAACACAAUCACUUCACAAUGCUCAAAUCCCAUACAUAUGCCAUGCACAUUCAUUGUUCCCUUCAUAGUCCAACAUUUAUUUUCUUAAUGUCCUUGUUUAGAUUUGGUGGGGUUUGAUUAAACUUUCCAGUUUCAUGUCUAUUUGUUUUGAGACAUG